CAAAUCUCUAUCGUAAGCUACGGUGAAGAGAAGCCUCUACUUCUUGGUCAAACUGAAGAAGUAUACGCUAAGAACCGCCGUGCAGUUCUAGUGUACUAAUCGAGGAUGAACCUCAUGUUCAGUAACCUAAAGCG
rnacentral:sRNA from 1 species